rfam:Nicotiana attenuata strain TT chromosome 8, whole genome shotgun sequence.
CAUUGGAGAUUAGGAAUAGAUGGUGAAACAAGCAUUUCCACAACUUUACCAUCCAGUCAAUUCUGUUCCACUUAAUCAGGAAUGCGGACACAAGUGGUGUAUGGCUGCCGUCAGCUCAUGCCGUAAGGUGUUGGGUUAAGUCCCGCAACGAGAGCAACCCUCGUAUUUAGUUGCCAUCGUUGAGUUUGGAACCCUGAACAGAGUGAUAAGCCGGAGGAAGGUGAGGAUGGCGUCAAGUCAUCAUGCCCCUUAUGCCCUGGGUGACACACUUGCUACAAUGGCCGAGACAAAGGGUCGCGAUCCCGCGAGGGUGAGCUAACCCCAAAAACCCGUCCUCAGUUCGGAUUGCAGGCUGCAACUCGCCUGCAUGAAGCCGGAAUCGCUAGUAAUCACUGGUCAGCCAUACGGCGGUGAAUUCAUUUC